rnacentral:tRNA from 1 species
GCCUGGGUGGCUCAGUCGGUUGAGCGUCCGACUUCAGCUCAGGUCAUGAUCUCGCGGUCCGUGAGUUUGAGCCCCACAUCGGGCU